rnacentral:miRNA from 3 species
CUUGGCACUUGUGGAAUUUUUUG